rnacentral:rRNA from 1 species
UACAGAGGGGGCAAGCGUUGUUCGGAAUUACUGGGCGUAAAGGGCGCGUAGGCGGCCUUCUAAGUCGAACGUGAAAUCCCCGGGCUCAACCCGGGAACUGCGUCCGAUACUGGAAGGCUUGAAUCCGGGAGAGGGACGCGGAAUUCCAGGUGUAGCGGUGAAAUGCGUAGAUAUCUGGAGGAACACCGGUGGCGAAGGCGGGUCUCUGGGCCGAAAUUGACGCUGAGGAGCGAAAGCGUGGGGAGCAAACAGG